UACGAUGAAAUAAAAAUGUAAAGAUAGAAUUGGUACGUAUUUACGUAUCUUGAAUAUUCCAGAUGAAAUCAUAUUUUAUCAAACCGAUGUGCACGUUCAUUCAAAUUUCGCGCUAUUUUUAACAAAUUCGAUUCGGCAGAGUUCUCCGCAUUUCCAGAAUGUGCUUUCUAUUGGUUGAACUGACUACCCUCCUUGAACCUUGGAUAGUAUGUAUGUAUGUAUGAUGUAUGUAUGAUGUAUGUAUGUAUGUAUGUAUGAUGUAUGUAUGAAUGAUGAUGAAUUUUCAUUGCCUGUUGAAUUAUUUGAAUGGACAAAAAUUGAGAUUGUAUCGAGACUAUGAUACGGAUUGAAAAUCAGUAAAAUAUAUUCAUCAAUAAUAGUAGGAAUAUCUUUCAAAGAUUAAUUAUUUAUUUAGUCAAUAUUUGACAAAUUAAUUAGUUUUGGAUCAGAGAAGAAAAGAGAGAUUAGUGAAGAAUUUGGAUCGUCUUUACUAUACUUUUGAUCAACAUUUUGCUUUAUCAAUUAAUCCUGACAAUCUGCCAUCUUUUUGGAUCUCAUAUGAUACAGAUACAGAUCUUUUAGUAUAUAGACGUUGCCGGUAUUUGCUAUAUCGUCAUCAUCCACAUAACAUAAAUGUGACAUGCAAAAUAUUUUCGACCAUUGAAACUGAUAAAAACAAGUUUCAAGUAACUUUAGAUGUUUUACAAUUUGCACCAGAUAAGGUGACUGUAAAGGUGAUAGGAAAGAACGUUAUGAUGAAAGGCAAGCACAAAGAGAAGCAGGACAGAUGUGGUUGAGUCAGGACAAUUUCUUAGGAAGUAUAUGAUUUUAGAGCAAUGCGAUAUAGAUCAAUUAUAUUCUACGUUCUCUUCAAAAUGAUGGAGUUUUUAUUAUCAUCAUUCCUAAGAGAAUAUAGGUAUUAAAUGAGAAAAAAAAGAAUUAUAGGACAACAUACAAUGAAAGACCAAAACCUGUUAAAGCUCAAAAGGAGCAAAAUUUACUGACUUAGAAAAGUUUAGUACAACGGAAAGAACAAAAGAAUCAAAACUGCUUAAAAAAUAGUCUAAUAGUCUUUGUAUCUCUUUACCAUUAUGAAAGUAUUAUUAUAUGUUAAAUGAAAUGUAUUAUUUUAACUUCUCUUAUAAAAUAAAAUUUUAUAAUUUCUGAAA